GCUGUGUGGGGAAGAAGGCUCUUGCCCUGCUAGUUAUAAUGAAUUCAAUGGCUGUGUUUUAUUUUAGCUUAACGGGACACUGUGCAAGGCUUUUAGAAAUUUAGUGGCACGUAUGAAUGCCAUCAGGCCGUUAGGACACCAUUUGCCUAGCAAAUACAGUAUCUCCCUGGAUGCUGCUGAGGGUGGCAGCUCCCUGCUGCUGGCGCCAGCUCUGUUGUCAGCUCCACGAAGCCAUCAGACAGUUCCAGCUGCUUACUUUUUUCCACAUGCUGUUAAUAAUUCUGUCAGCCGGGAAAGCCACGUUUUGAUUUUAUCUGCACUCCAGACAGUUCGUGGAGAAAAAAAGAUUAUAUAGGGAUUGCUUAAAUGUAUUCUCUUAGAUGCUAAGGAUGCCUUGUCAGUGUCUGUACCUGAUGCUUAAUUAACAAAGAGAGAGUUUUCUUUCCCUUGUCCUGAGACGUCUGCGUGUGACACCUGCCAUUCUUAUCAGAAGGGUGGAUGAGGCUGCAGGAAGUGCAAAAUAUCCUCUGUAACACUGGAGAAGACAAAGAGGAAAUUGAGAUAAGGGAAUUGCUAUGAAUCACUUGUGGAGAUGGUGAAACAUCAAGAUUGCAUGAGAUACCAAUUCAGUGCUUCACGUGUUGGUCAGGAAUCCACUCACGGAAAAAUAUUGCUGUUCUGUAUUUGGAAUCCCUGUUCAUAUGUUCUGAGUGAGUUCCAGUGAGGUUUUACAGCAAGGAGAUUUGAAAUCUGCCAUACGGCUAAGCUUCACUUCGGAUCUGCCUAUUUUACUCUCAUUCUGCUUUAUGCACGGAACAGAGUAAGAGCAGGCUCUUUUCACUUACUGUUUCCCCAGUUUCUGGCUGUUCUUCGAAGUGCUCUGCCUUUUGUGCUCUUAAAAAGGCAGUGAGCAUCCUGGAGCAGCCAGGUCUCCCGAGUGCACUUCUAUGCCUCUGUCUUCGUCACAGGCUGCUUUCAUCUGCCAGAGUCCCUUUGCCUUUCAUUAGCUAUUCAGCCUAGCUCUUCACUGUAAAGCCUGUCGAGAUUUGUGUUUAUGAUUAAAAUUACACACUGAGAAAUGUGUGGGAGUAAAGGGAUUAGGGAAACAGUUGCAGCAAUUAAAAAAAAACAAAAAAAACCCAAAAGAGAAAGCACGAGGAAGGGACUUCCACACCUGUUUCACGUUUCUACCCCAUUGCUUUGCUUUGUAUGCUCUUGCUUGGAUGCUUCUGGGACCUGUGUGAUUUUCGUGCUGGUGUCUUAGCUGCGUGCAUGCACUUUGUUCUUCUCUGGGGUAAUUGGGACAGGCUCCUAGGCUGGACCUUUGUCCCAUCAAGUGCUACGUGUCUGCACGGCAAAGAUGUAGCAAAGCUGUUAUUUCCUUGAUGUAUGUCAGAACUGCCUCCAGAAGUAAGAAGAGGCGGAAGGGGCUUUCCACCUCUUCAUUUAAUCUCAGUACACUGCUUAAAUGCGUCUCCGUGUGGGAGUUUAAGACACAGCAGUAAGAUGCAGCUGGCUGGGUUGUGUUGUUUUGGGGUUUCUUUUUUUAAUUGUUUAGUUUUGUUUUUGUGGGUUUAGGGUUGGAUGGAUAGCUUCUUUGAAAUGUCAUUCUGAUGGAAAACAAGGCAGGUGCCUUACUGCUGUCACCAGGUGAGGGCCUAUCAUAUGAUUGCUUGCCAGACAGAGAAAAUCACUUCAUUAGAUAGUGAUAUUUUUCUUUAAUAUAAUCCUCUUACAGAUGGGUUUUGAGCUUAAAAUACACCAUGGCCAAUAUUCUUUGUACUCUCUUCUCCUGUACUAGAGCAGUAUUUGCAGAGUUUUCAUAUUUCUGCUAAUUUGGAGCCUCUUUUCUGAAGCUUCUGAUUGGAAAUGCUGCAGAUUUAAACACUUUGCACUGGAAUUUAAGGAAAGCAUGUAACUGGACUAUAGAUAUGCC
rnacentral:lncRNA from 1 species